rnacentral:rRNA from 1 species
UACGUAGGGUGCGAGCGUUAAUCGGAUUUACUGGGCGUAAAGAGCGCGCAGGCGGUCGAUCAAGUCGCGUGUGAAAGCCCCCGGCUCAACUGGGGAGGGUCACGCGAUACUGAUCGACUCGAAGGCAGGAGAGGGUAGUGGAAUUCCCGGUGUAGUGGUGAAAUGCGUAGAUAUCUGGAGGAAUACCGGUGGCGAAGGCGGCAUCCUGGACCGACAUUGACGCUGAGGAGCGAAAGCUAGGGGAGCAAACGGG